rnacentral:rRNA from 1 species
ACGGGUGAGUAACGCGUAGGUAACCUGCCUAUUAGCGGGGGAUAACUAUUGGAAACGAUAGCUAAUACCGCAAAAUAUUAAUUAUUGCAUGAUAAUUGAUUGAAAGAUGCAAGCGCAUCACUAGUAGAUGGACCUGCGUUGUAUUAGCUAGUUGGUAAGGUAAGAGCUUACCAAGGCGACAAUACAUAGCCAACCUGAGAGGGUGAUCGGCCACACUGGGACUGAGACACGGCCCAAACUCCUACGGGAGGCAGCAGUAGGGAAUCUUCGGCAAUGGACGAAAGUCUGACCGAGCAACGCCGCGUGAGUGAAGAAGGUUUUCGGAUCGUAAAGCUCUGUUGUAAGUCAAGAACGUGUGUGAGAGUGGAAAGUUCACACAGUGACGGUAGCUAACCAGAAAGGGACGGCUAACUACGUGCCAGCAGCCGCGGUAAUACGUAGGUCCCGAGCGUUGUCCGGAUUUAUUGGGCUUAAAGGGAGCGCAGGCGGUCAGGAAAGUCUGGAGUAAAAGGCUAUGGCUCAACCAUAGUGUGCUCUGGAAACUGUCUGACUUGAGUGCGGAAGGGGAGAGUGGAAUUCCAUGUGUAGCGGUGAAAUGCGUAGAUAUAUGGAGGAACACCAGUGGCGAAAGCGGCUCUCUGGUCUGUCACUGACGCUGAGGCUCGAAAGCGUGGGUAGCGAACAGGAUUAGAUACCCUGGUAGUCCACGCCGUAAACGAUGAGUGCUAGGUGUUAGGCCCUUUCCGGGGCUUAGUGCCGGAGCUAACGCAAUAAGCACUCCGCCUGGGGAGUACGACCGCAAGGUUGAAACUCAAAGGAAUUGACGGGGGCCCGCACAAGCGGUGGAGCAUGUGGUUUAAUUCGAAGCAACGCGAAGAACCUUACCAGGUCUUGACAUCCCGAUGCUAUUCUUAGAGAUAGGAAGUUACUUCGGUACAUCGGAGACAGGUGGUGCAUGGUUGUCGUCAGCUCGUGUCGUG